rnacentral:rRNA from 1 species
AAAGGUAUCCGUAAGGAUGCCGCAUAGAGAUAAGCUCGCGUCCUAUCAGCUAGUUGUGGGGUAAUAGCCUACCAAGGCGAUUGACGGGUAGCUGGCCUGAGAGGGUGGUCAGCCACAUGGGGACUGAGACACUGCCCUGACUCCUACGGGAGGCUGCAGUCGAGGAUAUUUAGCAAUGGGCGAAAGCCGACUAUGCGACGCCGCGUGAGGGAUGAAGGUUUUCGGAUUGUAAACCUCUUUCGAUGGGGAAGAAUUCGGACGGUACCCAGAGAAGAAGCCACGGCUAACUCCGUGCCAGCAGCCGCGGUAAUACGGAGGUGGCAAGUGUUACUCGGAUUUAUUGGGUGUAAAGGGCAGGCAGGCGUCUUGAUAAGUUCUCGGUGAAAUCCUUCUGCUUAACAGAAGAACUGCCAAGAAUACUAUCGAGAUUGAGGCUAGGAGAGGAGAGCGGAAUUCCCGGUGUAAGGUUGAAAUCUGUAGAUAUCGGGAGGAACACCAGUAGCGAAGGCGGCUCUCUGGUCAAGACCUGACGCUGAGCUGCGAAAGCUAGGGGAGCAAACAGGAUUAAAUACCCUGGUAGUCCUAGCCGUAAACGAUGAGCACUAGGUGUUGGC